UACGGAGGAUUCGAGCGUUAUCCGGAUUUAUUGGGUUUAAAGGGAGCGUAGGCGGGUUGUUAAGUCAGUUGUGAAAGUUUGCGGCUCAACCGUAAAAUUGCAAUUGAUACUGGCAUCCUUGAGUACAGUAGAGGUAGGCGGAAUUCGUGGUGUAGCGGUGAAAUGCUUAGAUAUCACGAAGAACUCCGAUUGCGAAGGCAGCCUGCUGGACUGUAACUGACGCUGAUGCUCGAAAGUGUGGGUAUCAAACAGG
rnacentral:rRNA from 1 species